rnacentral:sRNA from 1 species
CGAAAUAAAACGAGAUAUCGGGAAAGCCAUCAAUUUGCGCGUGCCCGUCAGUCAUAAUUUUUUGUUUCGGAGAAUCAUUUUACGUACCAGAAUUAAUCAGUGCCAUACACAAAUAGUUAAAGCCAUUAAUUCUGUAAAUGUGUGUGUCAAAUUAAGACCAACGCGUUGCGGUCAUUAAUCAACAUUUAGCACAUGCUUCCACUCGCCCUGAGCCUGGUCUUUCGCCUAGGACACGCCUGACUGCCGCCUGCCAGUUUCCCAGGAUGCCAGAUUGCAAGUGGAGUGGCUCUGGCCUAAGUCGAAAUUGAUGAGCCCCCGUAAGGGGCGUGAGGAAAACAUUGUCUGCGAGCGAAAGCUUCGAUUAAGAAUACAUAAGCAGAAGUCUGAAAAAUCCAAAGAAAUUCGAAAAUAAUAGUGCGCAUAUACUGGUCCCACGGGACACAAGAGCACA